rnacentral:rRNA from 1 species
GAUGAACGCUGGCGGCGUGCCUAAUACAUGCAAGUCGAGCGAACAGACGAGGAGCUUGCUCCUCUGACGUUAGCGGCGGACGGGUGAGUAACACGUGGAUAACCUACCUAUAAGACUUGGAUAACUUCGGGAAACCGGAGCUAAUACCGGAUAAUAUAUUGAACCGCAUGGUUCAAUAGUGAAAGACGGUUUUGCUGUCACUUAUAGACGGAUCCGCGCCGCAUUAGCUAGUUGGUAAGGUAACGGCUUACCAAGGCGACGAUGCGUAGCCGACCUGAGAGGUUGAUCGGCCACGCGGGAACUGAGACACGGUCCAGAUGCCUACGGGAGGCAGCAGUAGGGAAUCGGCCGCAAGGGGCGAAAGCCUGACGGAGCAACGGCGCGAGAGUGAGGAAGGUCUUCGGAUCGUAAAACUCUGUUAUUGGGGAAGAACAAAUGUGUAAGUAACUAUGCUCGUCUGGACGUUACCGAAGCAGAAAGCCACGGCUAACUACGU